UUAAAUAUGUAUCUUUCACUUUUUAGACUUGUUAGGUGAGAAAUGGGCUUAGUUUGAUCGACAUUAAAACAUGUCGUUUAGGUAUCAAGAUGCAUACCACCUAGUGCGGCAGCAGCAUGUGCGAUCAUCCCAGCCCACUUCCAUGUUGCCGCAGGGAGAAGCAAAGCAGAGAGGAACAAAUAAUCAAUACCCCUCCACACACACACACACACACACACACACACACACACACACACACACACAGAAUACUCAAUAACAUUGGACACAUUCCUCUAUGAUGCGCUCAGCUUUGAAAUCAUUAACGACUGGCACAACUACAGUAAAAGAUGAGCUCUCGUGUGACUUCCGUGAGUUUUGGGCAGUGGAUGUCUCGUGUCACAAUUGCUGAUGUGGCAAAAAAAUACUCACAUUCUUGACAUAAGUACAAGUACAGCCACUUGUGAUAAAAAGUACUGGGAAGGAAAGUAGAAGCACUGUUUAAACUCCUUUGGUAAAAGUGGGAGUUUGCAAUAAAACGCAAUAGCACUUUUUGUCACAUACCUGACAGUAGUACGUGACGAUCUGUGGCCUGUGGCCCCAUAUUUAAAAAAAAAAAAAACAGCCAAUAAGGGACAUAAGGUUGACAAUCAGUUGCCACUUACAGGCACACACGUCGUGAGCACACCCUCCUAGUGAUAGCUUUGCUGAAACUAUGAUGGAAUGCCCACCUCCAGAAAAAAAAAAUGCCCAUCCCUCUUUUGCCCCCAAAAAAAUCAUUAUAAGACUAACAAACAGAAGCAGAGCGAAGGGAACUCAUGCAGCUGAGUGAAUUCUGAAGUGAGAAAAUGAGCAACAUCUCUGCAGCUCGUCACCUACCAGACGGCCGAGACAAGAUGCAGUGGCGCUCCGAGCUCAUGUCCCACUUUGCAAACUCUUUUCAGCCCACGCUUACAAAGGAAAAAAUGUGUAUGCUGAUCUGAAUACCUGUUUCCAUGCGUUUGGGUCCACCUGCACUCCACCACACCCAAACCAUGCAACAGUGCCUUCACCGUGCUUUUGUGGUAAAAGCCAAAAGGUAGGCUCGAAGACAGUUACUGUCGUUGGUCUUCCAACGUGUUCGGAUCACAGAAAAUGUUUGUCGCUUGGGAAAUUAUAAGGAAUUAGGGCCUAAUUGUUGGGGUUCUCAAUUGGUUCGUGUGUAGCAGCUGCCUAUGAUGUCUUGGCAAGAAAUAGAUGAUAGUGGGAGAGCAUUUUAUUUAUGGACAAGAAAAGAUCUUCUAGCCACAGAGCCAAAUCUACCACCUCCUCAUUAGGCUUAGGCAACUGUGUGAUGUGUUCUGUGCAUUUGUGUAUAUACGCUGCGGCCUUGUUUAUUGCCAAAAGCUCAUCCACCGCCCCCAUAGGCAUUAUAUGUAAUCCUUCAGCAGUAUGCACUGGCUUGCUACAGCAUGUAGUAUGGACACCUACAAAUUCAAACGAGCUCCAAUGCAAAGCCGCAAGCAGUAUUCGUUAUUUAGAAUGACAGCAAUACUCUUAGUCUUGAUUGAGACUCAUGCAGCGGGAUAGAAACGUUUGUAGAAUGCCUGUCAUAUUGCUAAAUAAGGCACUUAAAAUAUUUAUGAGAAACUGCC